rnacentral:rRNA from 1 species
AGCUUGCUACCUGACCUAGCGGCGGACGGGUGAGUAAUGCUUAGGAAUCUGCCUAUUAGUGGGGGACAACAUUCCGAAAGGAAUGCUAAUACCGCAUACGCCCUACGGGGGAAAGCAGGGGAUCUUCGGACCUUGCGCUAAUAGAUGAGCCUAAGUCAGAUUAGCUAGUUGGUGGGGUAAAGGCCUACCAAGGCGACGAUCUGUAGCGGGUCUGAGAGGAUGAUCCGCCACACUGGGACUGAGACACGGCCCAGACUCCUACGGGAGGCAGCAGUGGGGAAUAUUGGACAAUGGGCGAAAGCCUGAUCCAGCCAUGCCGCGUGUGUGAAGAAGGCCUUUUGGUUGUAAAGCACUUUAAGCGAGGAGGAGGCUACUUGGAUUAAUACUCUAGGAUAGUGGACGUUACUCGCAGAAUAAGCACCGGCUAACUCUGUGCCAGCAGCCGCGGUAAUACAGAGGGUGCGAGCGUUAAUCGGAUUUACUGGGCGUAAAGCGUGCGUAGGCGGCUUUUUAAGUCGGAUGUGAAAUCCCUGAGCUUAACUUAGGAAUUGCAUUCGAUACUGGGAAGCUAGAGUAUGGGAGAGGAUGGUAGAAUUCCAGGUGUAGCGGUGAAAUGCGUAGAGAUCUGGAGGAAUACCGAUGGCGAAGGCAGCCAUCUGGCCUAAUACUGACGCUGAGAUACGAAAGCAUGGGGAGCAAACAGGAUUAGAUACCCUGGUAGUCCAUGCCGUAAACGAUGUCUACUAGCCGUUGGGGCCUUUGAGGCUUUAGUGGCGCAGCUAACGCGAUAAGUAGACCGCCUGGGGAGUACGGUCGCAAGACUAAAACUCAAAUGAAUUGACGGGGGCCCGCACAAGCGGUGGAGCAUGUGGUUUAAUUCGAUGCAACGCGAAGAACCUUACCUGGUCUUGACAUAGUAAGAACUUUCCAGAGAUGGAUUGGUGCCUUCGGGAACUUACAUACAGGUGCUGCAUGGCUGUCGUCAGCUCGUGUCGUGAGAUGUUGGGUUAAGUCCCGCAACGAGCGCAACCCUUUUCCUUAUUUGCCAGCGGGUUAAGCCGGGAACUUUAAGGAUACUGCCAGUGACAAACUGGAGGAAGGCGGGGACGACGUCAAGUCAUCAUGGCCCUUACGACCAGGGCUACACACGUGCUACAAUGGUCGGUACAAAGGGUUGCUACCUAGCGAUAGGAUGCUAAUCUCAAAAAGCCGAUCGUAGUCCGGAUUGGAGUCUGCAACUCGACUCCAUGAAGUCG